rnacentral:rRNA from 1 species
CCGCCCGUCACACCAUGGAAGUGUAUUGCACCAGAAGCAGGUAGCCUGGCCGCAAGGAGGGCGCCUACCACGGUGUGGUCCAUGACUGGGGGUG